rnacentral:rRNA from 1 species
ACUUAAGCAUAUCAAUAAGCGGAGGAAAAGAAACCAACAGGGAUUGCCUCAGUAACGGCGAGUGAAGCGGCAACAGCUCAAAUUCGAAAUCUGACCCCUUCGGGGCCCGAGUUGUAAUUUGUAGAGGAUGCUUCGGGUGCGGCGCCGGUCUAAGUUCCUUGGAACAGGACGUCAUAGAGGGUGAGAAUCCCGUAUGCGACCGGCGGUCAACCCCAUGUGAAGCCCCUUCGACGAGUCGAGUUGUUUGGGAAUGCAGCUCAAAAUGGGUGGUAAAUUUCAUCUAAAGCUAAAUACCGGCCAGAGACCGAUAGCGCACAAGUAGAGUGAUCGAAAGAUGAAAAGCACUUUGGAAAGAGAGUCAAACAGUACGUGAAAUUGUUGAAAGGGAAGCGCUUGCAACCAGACCUGCCCCCGGGCGAUCAGCCGUUAUUUUUAGCGGUGCACUCGUCCGCGAUCAGGCCAGCAUCGGUUCGGGCGGCCGGAUAAAGGCCUCGGGAAUGUAGCUCCCCCCGGGGAGUCUUAUAGCCCGAGGUGCAAUGCGGCCAGCCCGGACCGAGGACCGCGCUUCGGCUAGGAUGCUGGCGUAAUGGUUGUAAGCGACCCGUCUUGAAACACGGACC